AGGCAGCAGUGGGGAAUUUUGCGCAAUGGGCGAAAGCCUGACGCAGCAACGCCGCCUGAGUGAUGAAGGCCUUCGGGUCGUAAAGCUCUGUCAGGGGGAAAGAAGUGUAUUGAGGUUAAUACCCUCGAUACUUGACGGUACCCCCAAAGGAAGCACCGGCUAACUCCGUGCCAGCAGCCGCGGUAAUACGGGGGGUGCGAGCGUUGUUCGGAUUUAUUGGGCGUAAAGAGCGUGUAGGCGGUUUGUUUAGUCUGAUGUGAAAGCCCUGGGCUCAACCCAGGAAGUGCAUUGGAAACUGGCAGACUUGAAUACGGGAGAGGGUAGUGGAAUUCCUAGUGUAGGAGUGAAAUCCGUAGAUAUUAGGAGGAACACCGGUGGCGAAGGCGGCUACCUGGACCGAUAUUGACGCUGAGACGCGAAAGCGUGGGUAGCAAACAGGAUUAGAUACCCUGGUAG
rnacentral:rRNA from 1 species